GCGGGGUGGAGCAGUUGGCAGCUCGUCGGGCUCAUAACCCGAAGGUCACAGGUUCAAGUCCUGUCUCCGCAACCA
rnacentral:tRNA from 1 species